AUUGAACGCUGGCGGCAGGCCUAACACAUGCAAGUCGAGCGGCAGCGGGAAAGUAGCUUGCUACUUUUGCCGGCGAGCGGCGGACGGGUGAGUAAUGCCUGGGAAAUUGCCCAGUCGAGGGGGAUAACAGUUGGAAACGACUGCUAAUACCGCAUACGCCCUACGGGGGAAAGCAGGGGACCUUCGGGCCUUGCGCGAUUGGAUAUGCCCAGGUGGGAUUAGCUAGUUGGUGAGGUAAUGGCUCACCAAGGCGACGAUCCCUAGCUGGUCUGAGGGGAGGAGGAGCCACACUGGAACUGGGAGACGUGCCAGACUCCUACGGGAGGCAGCAGUGGGGAAUAUUGAACAAUGGGGGAAACCCUGAUGCAGCCACGCCGCGUGUGUGGAGAAGGCCUUCGGGUUGUAAAGCACUUUCAGCGAGGAGGAAAGGUUGAUGCCUAAUACGUAUCAACUGUGACGUUACUCGCAGAAGAAGCACCGGCUAACUCCGUGCCAGCCGCCGCCGUAAUAC
rnacentral:rRNA from 1 species